AAUUUUUUUUUUCUUCUUUUUGAUUUGUUUCAAUCCACUAAAAAUUAACUCUUGUUCCAUCUCGCUGGACUUUGUUUUGGUAUAAGUAGAGUGGUGGAACUCGAGUUCCAUUACUGUCGUUAUUUAAUUAUUUUGAUAUAAGUCAAAAAUAUAAUGUAACCCAAGUUACGUUAGAACUCCACUUUACCUACUCUCGACUUCCUCUAAAAUGCUGAAUUCGACUUCCGCCACACUCAAUCUCCUCUAAAAAAUUUAUUAAAUAGUAAAAUCUAAAUCCUACUUCAUUUAUAAUGGAUUAGAAUUAUCUUAGUUAUAAUAAUUUAGAAUUAUUUUUAAAUAAUAAUAAAAAGUUUAAUUAUAUAAUUGGUUAAAUUUUAUAGCGAUAAAUUCGCCAUUAUAUUUAGAAGAUAACGGAAUCUACUUACUUACAACAAAACAAAUAACGAAAUUUAAAAAACUAACUUUAUCAGUACCAAGUUAUAUCAAAACAAAUUGAAGAAGUAAUUGAAUUUAGCUUUCAAAUUGUACAAGUUACGUCAAAACAAACAACAAAAAAGUAAUAACACUUCUGAAAAACUCAAAUACCACUGCACUUGACUUAUAUUGAAUCUAUGAAUUCGUCAAUCCAAACGCCCCCCAGGCAACAUGGUAGAAUCUGAAUGUCUAAGUAAUUAUGUAUUUUAGUAGUUUUUAAAU
rnacentral:lncRNA from 1 species